CCUACGGGUGGCAGCAGUGGGGAAUAUUCCACAAUGGGGGAAACCCUGAUGCAGCAACGCCGCGUGAGUGAAGAAGUAUUUCGGUAUGUAAAGCUCUAUCAGCAGGGAAGAAAAUGACGGUAACUGGGUAAGAAGCCCCGGCUAACUACGUGCCAACAGCCGCGGUAAUACGUAGGGGGCAAGCGUUAUCCGGAUUUACUGGGUGUAAAGGGAGCGUAGACGGAGAUACAAGUCUGAAGUGAAAGCCCGGGGCUCAACCCCGGGACUGCUUUGGAAACUGUGUAGCUAGAGUGCAGGAGAGGUAAGUGGAAUUCCUAGUGUAGCGGUGAAAUGCGUAGAUAUUAGGAGGAACACCAGUGGCGAAGGCGGCUUACUGGACUGUAACUGACGUUGAGGCUCGAAAGCGUGGGGAGCAAACAGGAUUAGAUACCCCUGUAGUC
rnacentral:rRNA from 1 species